rnacentral:sRNA from 17 species
GUGACGAGCCGAAGCGCUGUAUUCUUCUUAGCCGCUUCCGCCUGAUGGACAGCACUCCUCCUCCCAUGCUGUCGGUCACUAUCGAAGCCCGGCGCACUCUCCCGCGCCGGGCUUCUGC